rnacentral:rRNA from 1 species
GAUGAACGCUGGCGGCAGGCUUAACACAUGCAAGUCGAACGCCCCGCAAGGGGAGUGGCAGACGGGUGAGUAACACGUGGGAACGUGCCCUAAGGUUCGGAAUAUUCUCGGGAAACUGAGAGCAAUACCGAAUGUGUCCGAGAGGAGAAAGAUUUAUCGCCUUAGGAUCGGCCCGCGUUGGAUUAGCUAGUUGGUGGGGUAAAAGCCUACCAAGGCGACGAUCCAUAGCUGGUCUGAGAGGACGACCAGCCACACUGGGACUGAGACACGGCCCAGACUCCUACGGGAGGCAGCAGUGGGGAAUUUUGGACAAUGGGCGCAAGCCUGAUCCAGCCAUGCCGCGUGAGUGAUGAAGGCCCUAGGGUUGUAAAACUCUUUCGCCGAGGACGAUAAUGACGGUACUCGGAGAAGAAGCUCCGGCUAACUUCGUGCCAGCCGCCGCAGUAA